rnacentral:rRNA from 1 species
UCAAGUAAUUAAGUGCAUGUGGUGGAUGCCUUGGCAGUCAGAGGCGAUGAAAGACGUGAUAGCCUGCGAAAAGCUCCGGGAGGCGGCAAAUAUCCUUUGAUCCGGAGAUGUCUGAAUGGGGGAACCCACCUACUUUAAGGUAGGUAUUGCAACAUGAAUACAUAGUGUUGCAAGGCGAACGAGGGGAAGUGAAACAUCUCAGUACCCUUAGGAAAAGAAAUCAAUUGAGAUUCCCUCAGUAGCGGCGAGCGAACGGGGAUCAGCCCAUUAAGUUAUGUGUGUUUUAGUGGAACGCUCUGGGAAGUGCGAACGUAGAGGGUGAUAUUCCCGUACACGAAAGGGCACACAUAAUGAUGACGAGUAGGGCGAGGCACGUGAAACCUUGUCUGAAUAUGGGGACCAUCCUCCAAGGCUAAAUACUCCUGACUGACCGAUAGUGAACCAGUACCGUGAGGGAAAGGCGAAAAGAACCCCUGUGAGGGGAGUGAAAUAGAUCCUGAAACCGCAUGCAUACAAGCAGUGGGAGCACCUUCGUGGUGUGACUGCGUACCUUUUGUAUAAUGGGUCAGCGACUUAUAUUCAGUAGCGAGGUUAACCGUAUAGGGGAGCCGUAGAGAAAUCGAGUCUUAAUAGGGCGUUUAGUUGCUGGGUAUAGACCCGAAACCAGGCGAUCUAUCCAUGAGCAGGUUGAAGGUUGGGUAACACUAACUGGAGGACCGAACCCACUGUCGUUGAAAAGCCAGGGGAUGACUUGUGGAUAGGGGUGAAAGGCUAAUCAAGCCUGGUGAUAGCUGGUUCUCCCCGAAAGCUAUUUAGGUAGCGCCUCGGACGAAUACCAUAGGGGGUAGAGCACUGUUUCGGCUAGGGGGUCAUCCCGACUUACCAAACCGAUGCAAACUCCGAAUACCUAUGAGUACUAUCCGGGAGACAGACUGCGGGUGCUAACGUCCGUAGUCAAGAGGAAAACAAUCCAGACCGCCAGCUAAGGCCCCAAAAUCAUAGUUAAGUGGGAAACGAUGUGGGAAGGCAUAGACAGCUAGGAGGUUGGCUUAGAAGCAGCCACCCUUUAAAGAAAGCGUAAUAGCUCACUAGUCGAGUCGGCCUGCGCGGAAGAUGUAACGGGGCUAAAACUAUGUGCCGAAGCUGCGGAUGUAUACUUUGUAUACGUGGUAGGGGAGCGUUCUGUAAGCCGAUGAAGGUGUGUUGAGAAGCAUGCUGGAGGUAUCAGAAGUGCGAAUGCUGACGUGAGUAACGACAAAACGGGUGAAAAACCCGUUCGCCGAAAGACCAAGGGUUCCAGUCCAACGUUAAUCGGGGCUGGGUGAGUCGACCCUAAGGCGAGGCCGAAAGGCGUAGUCGAUGGGAAAAUGGUUAAUAUUCCAUUACUUCUGUGUAAUGCGAUGAGAGGACGGAGAAGGCUAAAUCAGCCUGGCGUUGGUUGUCCAGGUGAAAGGAUGUAGGCAUGUAUCUUAGGCAAAUCCGGGGUACUCUAUGCUGAGAUCUGAUAGCAAGCUGUACUUGUACAGCGAAGUGGUUGAUGCCAUGCUUCCAGGAAAAGUCUCUAAGCUUCAGUUACACAGGAAUCGUACCCGAAACCGACACAGGUGGUCAGGUCGAGUAGACCAAGGCGCUUGAGAGAACUCUGCUGAAGGAACUAGGCAAAAUGGUACCGUAACUUCGGGAGAAGGUACGCUGUUGUUGGUGAUGGAACUCGCUUCCUGAGCUGACGACAGCCGCAGAAACCAGGCCGCUGCAACUGUUUAUUAAAAACAUAGCACUCUGCAAACACGAAAGUGGACGUAUAGGGUGUGAUGCCUGCCCGGUGCUGGAAGGUUAAUUGAUGGGGUUAGCGUAAGCGAAGCUCUUGAUCGAAGCCCCAGUAAACGGCGGCCGUAACUAUAACGGUCCUAAGGUAGCGAAAUUCCUUGUCGGGUAAGUUCCGACCUGCACGAAUGGCAUAAUGAUGGCGGCGCUGUCUCCAGCAGAGGCUCAGUGAAAUCGAAAUCGCUGUGAAGAUGCAGUGUACCCGCGGCUAGACGGAAAGACCCCGUGAACCUUUACUGCAGCUUGACACUGAACUUUGACCUUACUUGUGUAGGAUAGGUGGGAGGCUUUGAAGCUGGAACGCUAGUUCCAGUGGAGCCGUCCUUGAAAUACCACCCUGGUAAUGUUGAGGUUCUAACUCUGUCCCGUGAUCCGGGACGAGGACCGUGUCUGGUGGGUAGUUUGACUGGGGCGGUCUCCUCCUAAAGAGUAACGGAGGAGUACGAAGGUGCGCUCAGCGUGGUCGGAAAUCACGCGUAGAGUAUAAAGGCAAAAGCGCGCUUAACUGCGAGACCCACAAGUCGAGCAGGUACGAAAGUAGGUCUUAGUGAUCCGGUGGUUCUGUAUGGAAGGGCCAUCGCUCAACGGAUAAAAGGUACUCUGGGGAUAACAGGCUGAUACCGCCCAAGAGUUCAUAUCGACGGCGGUGUUUGGCACCUCGAUGUCGGCUCAUCUCAUCCUGGGGCUGAAGCAGGUCCCAAGGGUAUGGCUGUUCGCCAUUUAAAGAGGUACGCGAGCUGGGUUUAGAACGUCGUGAGACAGUUCGGUCCCUAUCUACCGUGGGCGCUGGAAAUUUGAGAGGAUCUGCUCCUAGUACGAGAGGACCAGAGUGGACGAACCUCUGGUGUACCGGUUGUGACGCCAGUCGCAUCGCCGGGUAGCUAUGUUCGGAAGGGAUAACCGCUGAAAGCAUCUAAGCGGGAAGCCUACCUCAAGAUAAGAUUUCCCUAGGACUUUAUGUCCUCUAAAGAGCCGUUCGAGACUAGGACGUUGAUAGGUUGGAUGUGGAAGCAUAGUGAUAUGUGAAGCUGACCAAUACUAAUUGCUCGUGAGGCUUGACUA